rnacentral:rRNA from 1 species
UAUAACUGCGGGCCAGCAGCCGCGGGAAUGCGGAGGGUGGGAGUGUGAAUCAGAAUGAGUGGGCGGAAGGCGGGCGCAGGCGGGUUGGUAAGUCAGAUGUGAAAUCCCCGGGCUCAACCUGGGAACUGCAUUUGAGACUGCCAAGCUGGAGUUUGGCAGAGGGGGGUGGAAUUCCACGUGUAGCAGUGAAAUGCGUAGAGAUGUGGAGGAACACCGAUGGCGAAGGCAGCCCCCUGGGCCAAUACUGACGCUCAUGCACGAAAGCGUGGGGAGCAAACAGGAUUAGAUACCCCUGUAGUC